rnacentral:lncRNA from 10 species
UGUUAACCAAAGGCUUCACAUUCUCGAAAGCAUUUGUGAAUGUCCUGAGGUGCUUCUCUUUGAGUUGUGUUGAAACUUACGGCCUAGGUUUAUACAACUUCUAGACGAAGGCUCAAUUACGAUAUUCGAGGCAGACAUGUAACAGCCUUCUUGUGCUAUGAAUAUGGAAAGUUCUUCAGCACUACCCUUGGGGGCCAUUUUAAAGAGCAAAAUCACCAACUAAAAGGACGAAAAUGUUAAAAACAGGGCACUCGAUAGACUGAAAAGGACACUUGUUUCCCGUAGGAGAGCUGAAACAAGAAGACAGUGUUGCCUUAGCUGACCUUAGUUGGAAAAUGUGCACGGGAAGAUUCAAAUUGAUCACUGCCCUGUCCAUGUCUACUGGUGAUCACAAGAGUGCCGAGUGUUCACUUUAGGAUCACACAUAAAUGUUAGCAAGUAAGGCCGACUCACAAAUACAGAAUUGGCAAAUAAUGAGGAUCUACAGCUAUAUUUUGUUUCUCCUCUUUGGCCUCAGCCUUCUUAUUUGCAAAAUAUAUUAGAAGAGGAGAGACCAGGGUCCCCUAAACCAUGUUCCAGGGACCCUGGAGAUGCGCUCCCAGGAGCUGGGACACCCACUCCUUCCUUUCUUCGCAUGGCAGCCCCUCCUUCUGUUGCAGAGCUGCUUUCUCCCACUUGAGGUGUGUGUUGCUGCUGAACAUGGAUCUGCUGCACACGUCACCAGCCAGAGGUGGGCAUUUGAUCAACUGGAGCCAAUCUGUGAAUCUUGUCUCCCUCUCCCACCUUGACACUAGCCCAAGGGGGCAGAAACGGCUGCAGAGGAGCCAAGAGGGACCCUGGGAAGGAAAGCCACUGUUGUUUUGUCUGGAUGGUAGUGCAAGGACACUGUGAGCCUCGCACUGCUGUCUCCUGCCUGGGAAUGACGCCAUCAUGGAGGAAAACAGAGCCAAGACAUGGGGUGAGGGAGGAGAAGAGAGGAAGCAAUGCAGGUUCAUAAUAGGGUCAGUUAACUCUUCAGUCUACUCAAUGAAUACCUUUAAAAGAAUAUGCGGGGCUGGGUGCAGUGGCUCAAAGCUGUAAUCCCAGCACUUUGGGAGGCCAAGGUGGGAAGAUUGCUUGAGCCCGGGAGUUAGAGACCAGUUUGAACAACAUGGUGAAACCCUGUCUCUACAAAAAUUACAAAAAUUAGCUGGGCAUGUGUGCCUAGAGUCCUAGCUACUCGGGAGGCUGGGGUGGGAGGAUCCCCUGAGCCCGGGAGGUCAACGAUACAGAGAGCUAUGAUUGCGCCACUGCACUCCAGCCCGGGCAACAGAACAAGACAUUGUCUCAAAAAAAAAAAAAAAAAAAAAAAAAAGAAUAUUCCAUUACUUUGAGAUGGAUUUCUACCACGUGGGGAAAGCAAAACACCCUAUUUGCUCACAAAGGCUGGACAAGUUGGAACCCAUGUAGAUGAUCUUUAUGAUUUCUCUUUAUAUUUUUACAUUUCGCCUUUUUUCUCCCCAUAGUCCUCCUCUCCUUUACCCGCUAACAUGGGAUUGCAAUUGAUUGUUCUUUACUUUUUAAACAGCCACACACAGCAUCUAUUUACCCAAGUGAUUAAAAAAGAAAAACAAUUCCAUGGCUCUGCAGUGCAGUCAGGGAGGGCUCAGGAAAGGAGCAGGCGCCGCGUGGUGGGACAGCGUGAUUCCAGCGCCUCGGCAUGUCUCAAGGAACAGACGACUGUUGUUCGCCCUGGCUCGCUCUGACUCAUCCUUCCUGUAACUCUCGCUCUUUUGAUUCCCGCGUGGCAUCCUCUGGGCUGUCUUUCUGAUACAGAAGCCGCCGGAUCUGGCACAGAGCUCAGCAGCUACUGUUCCCAUAGACUCCCCUGGAGCUGUCAUAAGACAUGAUUUAUCGAGUGGAGAGCCGUCCCUCUCAAAUCACUCCAGCAUUUCUAAGCCAAAGACUUUUCCCCAUCCACCAGGGCUGUGUGACAUCAUCUUUUUGACCUUCGGACCCGGAAGAUCUGUGCUCAUCCUCAGAAGAUAGGCGUACUGGGUCUAACAUUUACUUUCUCCUUUCUAUUCUCUGACCUGCUUUUCACCAACGUAGAACAGGGGCUACCAUCUGCUGAGCCUGUACUGUGUGUGUGUGGCAAGUUAGAUAUGUCAAUUCAGUAAAUUAUCACGAACCACAUAAAAUGUAGGUAUGUUUUUCAAGGUUUAUAGAUUAAGGUACUGAAACUCAGAGAGGUCAGGUGACUUGCCCAGGGUCACACAGCUAAAGAUGACAGAGCUAGAAUUGGAACCCAGUCCUGUCUGACUCCAAAGCACACAGGUUAUCACUACUCCACAGGUGCCCUCUGCUGUGGACCACAGGGAGAACAAUUGCUCCUUUGCUUUGAAGAAAGAGGAAGGAAAAUUAUUGUAGGUUUGCAAAGAGUUCAUCUACAUUUUUCCCCUCAAAGAGGGAGAUUCCUUAACCCAAAUCGUCCUCACUGUCACCCUGGCUCAGCUACUUGGCUUCCAGAGACACCAAAGUUAAGUGUGCACAUUCUCAAAUAGGUCUCCUGUUUUUAUUUUGUGCAGCAGGCAGGGAGGGGAACUCUUGGCAAGGAGCCCUUCUUUGACAGUAGCCUGGGCAGAGAGAAGAUCAAGGAGGGACGCGUGGGUAUUAGAGUGGCAGGAACAAAGUCCACACCUGUGCCGCCCAACACAGCAGCCACUCACCCCGUAGGGCCGCUGGGCACUGGGAAGGGGGCACGUUCAAGCCAAGCUGUGUUGCCAGGGUAACGCACCCACCAGGUUCCAGAGAUUGUGUAUGAAAAAGAGAAUGUAAAAUAUCUCCUCGAUAAAUUCUUUAUAUUGAUUUUAUGUUGAAAUGAUAUGUUGAAUAUAUCAAGCUAAAUAAAAAUAGCAUUAAAAUUAAUU